GCCUCCGUAGUCUAGUUAAGACACCUUGUUGUUAUGUGGUCGGUCUAUCAUUCGUUGCAUUGCAGGGAGUUGAGGGUUCGAAUCCCUCCGGAGGCA